AUACGGGAGGCAGCAGUGGGGAAUCUUGCACAAUGGGGGAAACCCUGAUGCAGCGACGCCGCGUGAGCGAUGAAGCCCUUCGGGGUGUAAAGCUCUUUCGGCAGGGACGAUAGUGACGGUACCUGCAGAAGCAGCUGCGGCUAACUACGUGCCAGCAGCCGCGGUAAUACGUAGGCAGCAAGCGUUGUUCGGAGUUACUGGGCGUAAAGGGUGUGUAGGCGGCCUUUUAAGUUUGGUGUGAAAUCUCCCGGCUCAACUGGGAGGGUGCGCCGAAUACUGAAAGGCUCGAGUGCGGGAGAGGAGAGUGGAAUUCCUGGUGUAGCGGUGAAAUGCGUAGAUAUCAGGAGGAACACCGGUGGUGUAGGCGGCUCUCUGGACCGUAACUGACGCUGAGACACGAAAGCGUGGGUAGCAAACAGGAUUAGAUACCCCGGUAGC
rnacentral:rRNA from 1 species